GACGAACGCUGGCGGCGUGCCUAAUACAUGCAAGUAGGACGCAGUUGCGAACGGGUGAGUAACGCGUAGGAACCUGCCUAUUAGAGGGGGAUAACUAUUGGAAACGGUGGCUAAUACCGCAUACUAUCGGAUGAACCCAUAUGGGAUUAGCUAGUAGGUGGGGUAAAGGCUCACCUAGGCGACGAUCUCUAGCUGGUCUGAGAGGAUGAUCAGCCACACUGGGACUGAGACACGGCCCAGACUCCUACGGGAGGCAGCAGUGGGGAAUAUUGCACAAUGGGCGCAAGCCUGAUGCAGCCAUGCCGCGUGUGUGAAGAAGGUCUUCGGAUUGUAAAGCACUUUAAGUUGGGAGGCGUUACCAACAGAAUAAGCACCGGCUAACUUCGUGCCAGCAGCCGCGGUAAUAC
rnacentral:rRNA from 1 species